UAUAUGAGGGGAGGAGAGGAGAGAGAGACAUGGGAGCGUUGCACUUCCACAAGAGGGUGGGUAGUGGCCAGCAUGUAUUGGAUUUUCUCACUUGCCUAUUGACAAAUUUUCAUGGAUUACUGCUGAAAGCCUAAAAACAUUCGAACGCAUGAACGGAGGACGGGGGAGGAUGCAGGAUGAGGCAGGCGCUACUCAUGCCAUAAUAUAUUGUUCGUGGCAGCCAAUUCUCCCUGGAAUCCCCUAAAUAAAUCAGUUCUCGCCAAAUGUUGCCCAGAAAAUAUCAAUUGGAUAGCGAAUUGUGAGUUAAUACGGUUUUUCAUGACAGGCAACGGAGAUUUUGAUUCGUAAUUCGUAUUCAGAGUGAGCUUUGCAGGGAGGGAAGGAAGUAAAAGUUGAAGAAAAGCACAAGCCACAAGGAACAAUGGCGAUUGAAUUCUCCAACCCUAUAAGUUCCUCCGAACUUCUCGCUGCGGUUGACAUGGGGACCAAUUCAUUCAAGAUGCUGGUGGUUCGAGCAGGCCCAAAUGGUAGGUUCCUUGCGGUUAAUCGCUUCAAGAAGCCCGUUCUCCUCGGCCGUGGAAUGAAUGCGGAAGAAUCUACCAUAUCCUCCGAAGCCCAACACCGAGCUAUUGUUGCGUUGCGGAAAUUUGGUCAGGUAUUGCAGAGGCAGCGAAUUCAUCAGACCAAGAUUGUCGCCACCUCCGCUGUGCGAGAAUCUUCCAACAAAAUUGAAUUCCUGUCAAGGGUUCGAGAAGAAGUAGGGUUUGAGGUGGACGUAUUGUCUGGGGAGGAAGAAGCUCGGCUUGUCUAUCUUGGCGUUCUUCAAUUCUUACCGGUUUACGAUAGAACUGUAUUAACUGUUGACAUCGGUGGUGGUUCCACUGAAUUCGUUAUAGGCAAGCAGGGAAAGGUUCUUUUUGCGACUUCAUUGAAGCUAGGGCAUGUUACUUUAACGGAGGCUUUUGUUAAGAACGGCGAACUCUUAGAGUUGCGGAACCAUAUACGUUCCGUUCUACUGGAGUCUGGACUGAUUGAGAAGGUCAGGGAGGUCGGGUUUGAGAUUGCCGUUGGUUCAUCUGGAACAGUUCGCUCCAUUGAGAACGCUAUUUUCCGUGGAUACAGUGAAGGCUUGACGAAUGCCCUUGUAUCCUUAUCGGAAUUCAGAAGGGAUUGGAGAUUCAGGCGGGAGGAACUUCAUGCCGUUGCUGAGAGGCUGUGCUGUUUGGAUGGUGGCGGGAUAUUGGCAGCAAGGAAAGCUGGGUUUUUCAGGAGGCGGUCAGAGUUUAUUACCGCCGGUGCAGUUCUGUUGUCCGAGAUUUUUGAGACUCUUGACAUUGCUGAGAUGCAAGUUUCUUGUUAUGCAUUAGGAGAAGGGAUCAUUUCAGAAAUCCUAGCUACUGCUUGCGAUGAUUAUGACAUCAAUGUGAAUGCCAGAUGGCGAUCUGUUGCUCACCUUUCAACAAGGUUUAACAAUGAGAAGAAGAUAAAAUCAGCUGUGCGCCUGUGCGGACAUCACUAGGAUAUUGAAUAUCUUGAAGAUGCAUGUUUGCUUCGUAACAUUGGAAUGUCUAUCGGUAAAAACAGCUACCAUAAGACCAUAUUACCAAGGUUUUCCAGCAGAAAUUAUUGUUUGCAGCUCCCUCAACUUAAAACCAACAAGAUGUACAGAUCUGGCAAUGAGACACAUAUUCUUACCUCUCAAUGAAAUUCUUUUCAAGCGCCAAUAAAUCAGGUCCCCUUCAACAGUUUUCUCCUCCCUUCUGGAGUGUAUGGCAAGACACAGUAGAGUUUAUAAUUUAGUCUUGGGAAGUUUAUAAGUUUGACUGUAAUAUGAUUUUUUCUGCCUAGUUGCUACCAAGGAGUUGUUGAGAAGCCAAAGAUACUUCCUGUGAUUGUAUCACUAUAAGCCUUGAUUUAUGGAAAACAGAGAGGCUGAGGAUCUGCUGCCCAUUUCACCAAUUCCCCCACAACCCAAUGGUUUGGCUGUACGUCAUUCUUAAAAUUUGCAGGUGCUCUCUCUCUACUGACAGAGGUUCUGCUCUCUAAUGCUUCUUGCUGCUCUACCUCAAGGCUUUGGCUUUUGUCAAUAUUCUGUACCCGCUGGUAAAUGGCAGGAAGUUGUAUUGCAGGCCAUGGUUCAGUCGAAGUGGGGUACUCUUGUGUUUAUUUUGCUUGACCUCUUAUUUUGGUGCCUUGUUGCAGGCUUCCUUCACCUAAAAGGAUAUAUAUAUAUAUAUAUAUAUAUAUAUAUAUAAUACUUUAGCUGGCUUGCUUCGCAUUGAAAAGCUAAUAUAUAAAUUGUAGCAACUAGAGGCAUGUAUAAAUCAAAGCAAAAGAUUAGGUGCCAUGUUGGUAUUAUCUAGGGACAUGAA